rnacentral:rRNA from 1 species
GUGAGGAAUAUUGGUCAAUGGGCGAGAGCCUGAACCAGCCAAGUCGCGUGAAGGAAGAAGGAUCUAUGGUUCGUAAACUUCUUUUGCAGGGGAAUAAAGUGCAGGACGUGUCCUGUUUUGUAUGUACCCUGAGAAUAAGGAUCGGCUAAGUCCGUGCCAGCAGCCGCGGUAAUACGGAGGAUCCGAGCGUUAUCCGGAUGUAUUGGGUUUAAAGGGUGCGUAGGUGGUUUGAUAAGUCAGCGGUGAAAGUUUGCAGCUUAACUGUAAAAAUGCCGUUGAAACUGUCGGACUGGAGUGUAAAUGAGGUAGGCGGAAUGCGUGGUGUAGCGGUGAAAUGCAUAGAUAUCACGCAGAACUCCGAAUGCGAAGGCAGCCUACUAAGCUACAACUGACACUGAAGCACGAAAGCGUGGGGAUCAAACAGGAUUAGAAACCCGGGUAGUCC